rnacentral:rRNA from 1 species
AGAAACAGUUUCCACUACUUCUACUAUGUUACGACUUGUCCUAUCUUUGAUAGGAAUGACGGGCGAUUUGUGCACAAACCCCUCCAUUAUUCAUUGUUUAUAACUUAUGACAAUUACUGUUAAGUCCAUCUUCAACCUGUUUUUAAAAAGGGAUGGGAAAAAAUUUAAUAUUGUAACUCGCCAAAUCUUUUACAUAGGUUGCACCUUGAUCUGUCAUUUUUGUUUUACAGAAUAAAACAACUUUUAAAGUUGUUUUUAUGACGACGGCAUACAAACUUUAAAUAAAAGUUGCUUUUCUUGGUGGUUAUCAUUUAUAUGGUAAGUUCCCCUAAGAUCUAAGAUUGCCGCCAUGUUGUUUAAAUUUUAAUAUUUCUAAUAUUACAUCCCUAAUUAUAAUUUGUAGUGUGGAUAAUGGGGUAUCUAAUCCCAGUUUCUCUUCAAAUUUAAUGUUGUGUCGGGCAAAAUUCUAUUUCACAGUAAAUUCUGCACUGGGGGGUGGUUAUAAUUGAAUUAAUUACUAUAGCAUAGGUAUGACCGCGGAUGCUGGCACCUAUUUUUCCACAUUAAAAAUGAUACUAAAUCUAUAUUUCUAUAAUAUUUAAUUUUGUAAACUGGAACCUCAAUAAAUACCAUAUUUAUUUUUAUUAUAUAUAAUUGGAAGCUUCAACAAACUUGUGUAAUAUGGACCUGUGCGCCGCACAUGUUACCGGCUCGCUGAUUCUUGACCUCGGGGGUGCCACCCGAUUA